GACGAACGCUGGCGGCGUGCCUAAUACAUGCAAGUCGAACGCACGAAGUUGAAGAGCUUGCUCUUUAACCAAGUGAGUGGCGGACGGGUGAGUAACACGUGGGUAACCUGCCCAUUAGAGGGGGAUAACAUUCGGAAACGGAUGCUAAUACCGCAUAGUUUCAGGGAUCGCAUGAUUCUUGAAGGAAAGGUGGCUUCGGCUACCACUAAUGGAUGGACCCGCGGCGUAUUAGCUAGUUGGUGAGGUAAUGGCUCACCAAGGCAAUGAUACGUAGCCGACCUGAGAGGGUGAUCGGCCACACUGGGACUGAGACACGGCCCAGACUCCUACGGGAGGCAGCAGUAGGGAAUCUUCCGCAAUGGACGAAAGUCUGACGGAGCAACGCCGCGUGAGUGAAGAAGGUUUUCGGAUCGUAAAACUCUGUUGUUAAAGAAGAACAAGGAUGAGAGUAACUGCUCAUCCCCUGACGGUAUUUAACCAGAAAGCCACGGCUAACUACGUGCCAGCAGCCGCGGUAAUACGUAGGUGGCAAGCGUUGUCCGGAUUUAUUGGGCGUAAAGCGAGCGCAGGCGGUUCUUUAAGUCUGAUGUGAAAGCCCCCGGCUCAACCGGGGAGGGUCAUUGGAAACUGGAGAACUUGAGUGCAGAAGAGGAGAGUGGAAUUCCACGUGUAGCGGUGAAAUGCGUAGAUAUGUGGAGGAACACCAGUGGCGAAGGCGACUCUCUGGUCUGUAACUGACGCUGAGGCUCGAAAGCGUGGGGAGCAAACAGGG
rnacentral:rRNA from 1 species